rnacentral:lncRNA from 1 species
GGUUGCAGGUGGCUUUCCUGGGUGCAGCUGUUACUGCCGUCCUCACCUCUGUUAGCACUCAGAGAAAUGAAGGGUACCUAUGGAGGAACCACAGUGCCAGUGACUUCCAGCUGUUCAGUGUCCCCAUGUUGUUGGGGCACACACAUGGAAACAGGACCAUCUCUGCAUGGCAUGCUGGGCUUCAUGCACAAUUUCCGUCUUGAAGUUGCUGCUUCCACCAAACCUGGACACCCAGCCGCUCCAAAAGCAAGAAGCUUCCAAGCCCUGUCUCUGACCUUGGCUUGCUGCAUCAAAGUAGGGAUGCUGGCAUCCCACAGAGCCACAGGUGGAGUUGCCACUUCCCAGCUGCAGAGACCAAGACAGGGCAAGAGAGCAGGGUGGGACUGCUGCAGCUCCUGA